GAUGAACGCUGGCGGCGUGCCUAAUACAUGCAAGUCGAGCGAACAGACGAGUAUCUUGCUCCUCUGACGUUAGCGGCGGACGGGUGAGUAACACGUGGAUAACCUACCUCUAAGACUUGGAUAACUUCGGGAAACCGUAGCUAAUACCGGAUAAUAUAUUUAACCGCAUGGUUCAAUAGUGAAAGACGGUUUUGCUGUCACUUAUAGAUGGAUCCGCGCCUCAUUAGCUAGUUGGUAAGGUAACGGCUUACCAAGGGAACGAUGCGUAGCCGACGUGAGAGGGUGAUCGCGCACACUGGAACUGAGACACGGUCCAGACUCCUACGGGAGGCAGAAGUAGGGAAUCUUCCGAGAUGGGCGGAAGCCUGACGGAGCGACGCAGCGUGAGUGAUGCAGGUCUUCGGAUCGUAAAACGCUGUUAUUAGGGAAGAACAAAUGUGUAAGUAACGAUGCAUGGUGUGACGGUACCGAAUCAGAAAGCAACGGCUAACUACGUG
rnacentral:rRNA from 1 species